UACAGAGGAUGCAAGCGUUAUCCGGAAUGAUUGGGCGUAAAGCGUCUGUAGGUGGCUUUUUAAGUCCGCCGUCAAAUCCCAGGGCUCAACUCUGGACAGGCGGUGGAAACUACCAAGCUGGAGUACGGUAGGGGCAGAGGGAAUUUCCGGUGGAGCGGUGAAAUGCGUAGAGAUCGGAAGGAACGCCCGUGGCGAAAGCGAGGCCCUGGACGUCUGCUGACGCUGAGACGCGAAAGCCAGGGGAGCGAACGGG
rnacentral:rRNA from 1 species